rnacentral:rRNA from 1 species
UACGGGGGUGCAAGCGUUGUUCGGAAUUAUUGGGCGUAAAGAGCGUGUAGGCGGCUCGAUAAGUCUGCUGUGAAAGUCCAGGGCUCAACCCUGGAAGGCCGGUGGAAACUGUCGGGCUAGAGUCCGGAAGAGGCGAGUGGAAUUCCCGGUGUAGCGGUGAAAUGCGCAGAUAUCGGGAGGAACACCCGUGGCGAAGGCGGUUCUCUGGGACGGUGACUGACGCUGAGACGCGAAAGCGUGGGGAGCGAACAGG